rnacentral:lncRNA from 1 species
CCUCUACUUUGCAGGCCAAGUAAAUGGAAGACAUGGCGACCAGGUAGAGGUCAUAUGCAUCCAGGUUGAUCUUGCAGAAAAACUUAUAGUAAAUGGUGCACGCAGUAGCAAUGGGGAUGGACUGCAUGCCUAGCUUGACGCCUGCCUCCAUGAUGAACCGGGUUACUUGAAAGUACACCCUCGCCUCGGGAGCCGGCCUCUCCUAGGCUCGCUGCACCUCCUUCAACCUUUCGCAGCUGUCUGUUCCAACAGCCUCCAUAAGGCCCACGAUUGCAUGGCACUUAAGUAAUACUUCAUUUUCUAAGAAAUUCAUCCUGUACUUUGCAGCACUAGGAUAUUUUGACACCUGUGAAUCAUAACUAUGAUCCCAAACUCUAAGAACUAUUGGAGUUCCCUGACCUGUGUGGUCCCAGCCCUCCGCCUUUGGCCUCGACUUAGGCUUUAUGUUGUUUCUUUCCGGGGGCUCUGAUGAAUGCCCUGAGGAGACGGAUGUACAUGUGAGACAUAACUAUGGCCCCGAACUGUAAGAAUUACUGGAGUUUCCUGGACCAUGUUGUCCCAGCCUUCCACCUUUGGCCACGACUUAGGUUUUAUGUUGUUUCUUUCCGGAGCGCCCUGAUGAAGGUCCUGAGGAGAUGAUUGUACUUGCUCUCUGCUGAGGAAGACUGACUUUUGUAGACAGAGUCCUCUGUCAUGAGGUUUGGAGGACAUCUCUGUGCCCUGCAUCAUCCUCCUUGUCUUGAGGGGCUCCGGCUUGGCUUCUGCCUGCAAGGAAGUUACUUCCAACCGUUGAGAAGACUGUGCCUUCUUUCCUUUGGAGACUUGGGUGGCUUUCAGUCCCUCUUGGCCUGAAGACACUGGCUUCUGCCCUUCUCCAGGCCCCUGCUCUCCAACUAAUAGGGGACACGCUAUCUGGUCUGAAUGCCUACAAUAGGGCUUGAUCUUCUUGCCCUGGGAAAAGGUGUUUUCUUCUAAUGCAAGACUUUCGCAGCACUAGAAAGGUUCUUGUGACUGUAGGAGUCCUGUGUUGUCUCUCCCUAGAUGUCCCUUCCUACACUCCUCCAGGCUCGUUAGUUGCUGUUUCAGAUGGGAUGUUUUUUGCAUGGGUGUGUGUUCAUAAGCACCUCUUGCUUUGGGAGCUGU